UUGGCAUAAUGAGGAAAGAAAUAGUUUACGUCUGAUCUACUGGAUGAUAAAAUCCUCCUACUCAUUCUGA